rnacentral:misc_RNA from 1 species
GAUGAAGAACGUAGCGAAAUGCGAUAAGUAAUGCGAAUUGCAGAAUCCAGCGAGUCAUCGAAUCUUUGAACGCACAUUGCGCCCGCCAGUAUUCUGGCGGGCAUGCCUGUUCGAGCGUCAUUUCAACCAUCAAGCCCUGCUUGCGUUGGGGUCCUGCGGCUGCCCGCAGGCCCUGAAAACCAGUGGCGGGCUCGCUAGUCACACCGAGCGCAGUAAUACAUCUCGCUUUGGGCGUGCGGCGGGUUCUUGCCGUUAAACACCCCCUUUUUACCAAGGUUGACCUCGGAUCAGGUAGGAAUACCCGCUGAACUUAAGCAUAUCAAUAAGCGGAGGA